rnacentral:rRNA from 1 species
UGGGGAAUUUUGGACAAUGGACGCAAGUCUGAUCCAGCCAUGCCGCGUGCGGGAAGAAGGCCUUCGGGUUGUAAACCGCUUUUGUCAGGGAAGAAACGGCUUUUUCUAAUACAGGGGGCUAAUGACGGUACCUGAAGAAUAAGCACCGGCUAACUACGUGCCAGCAGCCGCGGUAAUACGUAGGGUGCAAGCGUUAAUCGGAAUUACUGGGCGUAAAGCGUGCGCAGGCGGUUAUGCAAGACAGAUGUGAAAUCCCCGGGCUCAACCUGGGAACUGCAUUUGUGACUGCAUGGCUAGAGUACGGUAGAGGGGGAUGGAAUUCCGCGUGUAGCAGUGAAAUGCGUAGAUAUGCGGAGGAACACCGAUGGCGAAGGCAAUCCCCUGGACCUGUACUGACGCUCAUGCACGAAAGCGUGGGGAGCAAACAGGAUUAGAUACCCCCGUAGUCC